rnacentral:rRNA from 1 species
GACGAACGCUGGCGGCGUGCCUAAUACAUGCAAGUAGAACGCACAGUUUAUACCGUAGCUUGCUACACCAUAGACUGUGAGUUGCGAACGGGUGAGUAACGCGUAGGUAACCUGCCUGGUAGCGGGGGAUAACUAUUGGAAACGAUAGCUAAUACCGCAUAAUAUUGAUUAUUGCAUGAUAAUUGAUUGAACGAUGCUAUUGCAUCACUACCAGAUGGACCUGCGUUGUAUUAGCUAGUAGGUGAGGUAACGGCUCACCUAGGCGACGAUACAUAGCCGACCUGAGAGGGUGAUCGGCCACACUGGGACUGAGACACGGCCCAGACUCCUACGGGAGGCAGCAGUAGGGAAUCUUCGGCAAUGGACGAAAGUCUGACCGAGCAACGCCGCGUGAGUGAAGAAGGUUUUCGGAUCGUAAAGCUCUGUUGUAAGAGAAGAACGGGGGUGAGAGUGGAAAGUUCACACUGUGACGGUAUCUGACCAGAAAGGGACGGCUAACUACGUG